CAAAGAGUAGUUUAAGUCUAAAAUGCCGGCUUUGGGGGUCGGAGAUAGGUGUUCUCUCUUUGA
rnacentral:tRNA from 1 species